rnacentral:miRNA from 1 species
CUGCAAUCCCCGUCUAUCCGAU